CACCAGUGAUUACAUGAUUUCAAGUGCUUUCAUUUGCAGGUGCCCUACUAGAUAACAUCCUCAAGAAAUCUUACUUUAUGGAAAUGGAUGCUCAGCAUUUUCAGGUCUAGAUUUCAGCUGUCUCAGGCUCACCAGAUUCCUCAUACAAGCUUGCCAGUGGUCAACACCUUUAGUGAUAUUCAGCUUGAAAACAGGACAGGAACCUGAAAGCAUCAGAAAGAGUAAGUUUAUAUAUUAUAUUGAGGCACUGAACUGUGAAAUAAAG
rnacentral:lncRNA from 12 species